rnacentral:ncRNA from 1 species
UGGGUUUAGAACGUCGUGAGACAGUUCGGUCCCUAUCCGCUGCGCGCGCAGGAGUCUUGAGAAGGGCUGUCCCUAGUACGAGAGGACCGGGACGGACGAACCUCUGGUGUGCCAGUUGUCCUGCCAAGGGCAUGGCUGGUUGGCUACGUUCGGGAGGGAUAACCGCUGAAAGCAUCUAAGCGGGAAGCCUGCUUCGAGAUGAGGACUCCCACCCACUUGAUGGGGUAAGGCUCCCAGUAGACGACUGGGUUGAUAGGCCGGAUGUGGAAGCACCGUAAGGUGUGGAGCUGACCGGUACUAAUAGGCCGAGGGCUUGUCCAU